rnacentral:misc_RNA from 1 species
UACGGAGGGUGCAAACGUUGCUCGGAAUCAUUGGGCGUAAAGCGCACGUAGGCGGACGAACAAGUCGGGUGUGAAAGCCCUCGGCUCAACCGAGGAAGUGCAUUCGAUACUGUUCGUCUCGAGUACGGGAGAGGUUCACGGAAUUCCCGGUGUAGAGGUGAAAUUCGUAGAUAUCGGGAGGAACACCAGUGGCGAAGGCGGUGACCUGGACCGAUACUGACGCUGAGGUGCGAAAGCGUGGGGAGCAAACAGG